rnacentral:rRNA from 1 species
AUGGGCUCGGGUGAGCCUCUUGGUUCUCCCAUGCCAGACUUCCCUGGGAGACCGGACAUCGAGGUCCUUGAUGGCCCUGACAAGCCCACUGUGAAGCCCUUCGACAAGCCAUUUGACCCCGUCCAUGAUAGGAAGAGGAAGAGAGGAGUCCUGAUGGAGAAGGAGAUCAAUGUCUUUUGCAGCAUGACUGAGGCGGUGAAGGAGGUGGCAACAGCCAUCAGGGAGUGCAAGCCCCUCAACGUCCACCCUGACCUGUAUGGCGCUGUCAUGACCCAGGGUGGCUUCUGCAACGAGGCUCUCAUGGCAGCUCUCAGCCACCUACUUGACAACAAGGCCCAGGGUGUUGGUUUCGUUGCCAUGGCUGAUGCUCACAGGGUGUUGUGGUUCAGGAGCUGGUUGGGCAAGCACUACUACUAG